GACGAACGCUGGCGGUAUGCUUAACACAUGCAAGUCGAACGAGAAGUUUUUUAUUGAACCUUCGGGGGAUAUAAGAGACAGACAGUGGCGAACGGGUGAGUAACGCGUGGGCAACCUACCUAUCGGAGCGGGAUAGCCUCGAGAAAUCGGGAGUAAAACCGCAUAACACGGAUAUAUCGCAUGAUGAAUCCGUCAAAACUCCGGUGCCGAUAGAUGGGCCCGCGUCUGAUUAGCUAGUUGGUAAGGUAAGGGCUUACCAAGGCAACGAUCAGUAGCCGGUCUGAGAGGGCGAACGGCCACACUGGAACUGAGACACGGUCCAGACUCCUACGGGAGGCAGCAGUGGGGAAUAUUGCGCAAUGGGGGCAACCCUGACGCAGCAAUACCGCGUGAGUGAAGAAGGUUUUCGGAUCGUAAAGCUCUGUUAUUGGGGAAGAAGCAGGACGGUACCCCU
rnacentral:rRNA from 1 species